UGCUACACAGCUGUCUUACAAAAGAUUUUACUUCACUUUGAAAAAUCUACCCGUCUUGGUACAUACGCAGCUGCUUCGUUAGUUGUGACUCUGCACAGCAUGAAGUUUAUACCCACCUGCUCCGAUGACAGACAGGCAGGUUGCUUCAACUCUGUUACCGCAUAUCACUACAAUGAUUAGUCUCAUUUAAUCCACUAGAAUGAUAAACUGAAAUGUCACUGAGGGAUAUUCCUAGAAGUGGGAUUGCUGGGUAUUAGACAAAAAGCUAUGCAAAAAUAAAAACUCAAUGCCUGCAGAGCAAAAUCUAAGAACUAUAUUUUUUAAGAAUAAAAUCCUACUUUUAUUCCAUGUAGAAAUUCAUACAUAUAAUAUUUUUGUCGUGACAAAUCGAAACAGAGGAAGGACAUGUAACUCACGUUGGUCUGAGGAAACCUCCCAAGGGAAGAUUAUUCUUGAGGUAUAUCUAAAAUUUGAGUAAACUUGUGGUGAAGAAGAAGGGAAGUUAUUUUGAGCAGAGGGAAAAUUUAAGUUUAACAAGUUAUUUACUGUUAAUUAACAUUUCUUUUACUUUAAUGAUCUAGGAAAAUUUUCUGCAAUAUGAUAAUAUUUUGUGGGGCUAUCUUCUUCAAAGUUUCAAAGUAAAGUAGAAAAACUUGUUUUAUAGAAUCUGAUGGCAGAUUAUUCUGCAUGUGGGGAAGAUCAGUGAAUUUCCCAGUAAUUCUGUCCCCAGAAAAACCCCAGAACCCCAACUAUGCCUGUCCUGCCAAUUGACACUCUUAGCUUGUCAUCAUGUCUUUCUUCCUAGCAUUAGUACAGUUUCAAGUAUCUUUUGUUUUGUAUGAAGCAGGGUUCAGUCUCUGCAGUAGAAGUGUAAUUUUUGCC
rnacentral:lncRNA from 10 species